AGGGGCUGCACCUGUGGCAUAUGGAAGUUCCCAGGUAGGGGCAGAACCCGAGCUACAGCCCCUGGCCCACAGCCACAGCCACAGCAACUCGGGAUCUGAGCCGUGUCUGCGACCUAUGCCACAGCUCACGGCGACGCCAGAUCUUUAACCCACUGAGUAAGGCCAGGGAUUGAACCUGAAUCCUCGGGGGUCCUAGUCACGUUUGUUAACCGCUGCGACAGAAAGGGAACUCCUCUUUUUGGAUCUUUGUGUCUUCUUUGAAUAACAUCAAAGUGAUCCUCCUGUUAGUAUUACUAAUAUUGAUUAGUUGGCUUAGAUGCUAUCACACCGAUCCAUCCAUUUUUAUUUUAUUGCCCUCGUUUACAGAUUUUGUAACUAUGAAAUUGGCAUAUUUGCCUCCCAUCCUGAGGAACUGUCAUGUUGAUCACAGAAAUGCCAUGGACCUGUCUGAACGAUUCAAAAAAGUGGUUGAAGGAUCCAUCGAAUCUCUCAGGAACGCUGGCUCAAAACCUUGAACCAUGUGGCUCUGUUUCUCUGUAAAGUCACCAAUUUCAGGUGCACGUUAUCAUUAGGAUGAAUAAUAUAGAUGAUAAAAGGAUGACCAACCCUGAGAUCCUAACUUCAACCCAUGUUCGUUUGCCUCAAUUCAGUACUGUUGGAAUGCAGAACAGAUGAUCACCGUUUUGCUUAGACGGGAUUUUCUAUUACAUACACAUACACACUAACCAUGCAAUGGGGAUUCUACUGAGCUCUUCAUAUAUUAUCUCUGUUGCUGACUGGCAGUCUUUUGAGAGAAAUCAUUUAAACAUCUUCCAGCAGCAGUAAUUCAUUUUGCAGAUAUUUGUAAGGUGCAUCCUCUGUGCUAAGUACUGUUCAAGGUCGAAUGGAACUUUAUUUUGGAAUCACUAAACUGAAAGAGUUUAUUUCAAAACUGAAGGGACACUGUGUUUUCCUUAUCCAAAAAAUGAAAGAAUUGGGUUAGAUACUAUCUUAGGUAUAAACUUUAUCCACCUAAAAUUUGCUUUCUUUCCUGAAAUAUUAUAUGUGACUGCAUCUGUAUGGCUAACAGUAUAUCCAUUAGGAAAUGUAAAAAUCUCUAUCAUGAAAAUGCUUCUAAAUGAUAGAAAAGUAGGAGUUCCUGUUGUGGCUCAGCAGUUUAUAAACCCGACUAGUAUCCAUGAGGUGGCGGGUUCAAUCCCUGGCCUUGCUCAGUGGGUCAAGGAUCCAGUGUUGCUGUGGCUGUGGUGUACCCCAUGGCUGCUUUCCUGAGUGACCUUCCAUCCCUGACAAGCAAGAUAACAGCAGGGUGAUGUUGAGAAAGGAGUUUUAUGUGAAGGAACUGAACUGUUUCUUUCUUUUUUUUUUUUUUUUUUUUUUUUUUUGUCUUUUGUCUUUUUAGGGCCGCACCCAUGGCAUAUGGAGAUUCCCAGGCUAGGGGUCUAAUCAGAGCUGCUGGCCUACACCUCAGCCACAGCAGAUCUGAGCCGCAUCUGCAACCUACACCACAGCUCACGGCAAUGCCAGAUCCUUAACCCACUGAGCGAGGCCAGGGGUGGAACGCUCAACCUCAUGGUUUUUAGUCGGAUUCAUGUCCGCUGUGCCAUGAUGGGAACUUCUGAAGGAAACCGUUUCUUGUCCUACAGUUGUUAUUUAACAUCAGAUUAAGGAUAGCAAAAAAUGGGAAUUCCCCAGUGGCUCAGCAGGUUCAGGAUCCAGCAUUGUAACUGUUGUGGUGCAGAUUUGAUCACUGGCCCAGGAACUUCUGCAUGCUUUGAGCAUGGCCAAAAAAAAAAAAAAAAAAAAAAAA
rnacentral:lncRNA from 1 species